ACCAGACUCCUACGGGAGGCAGCAGUGAGGAAUAUUGGUCAAUGGGCGGAAGCCUGAACCAGCCAAGUCGCGUGAGGGAAGAAGGCCCUGCGGGUCGCAGACCUCUUUGGACGGGGAGCAAGGCCGCCGACGUGUCGGCGGAAGGAGAGUACCCGUAGAACAAGCAUCGGCUAACUCCGUGCCAGCAGCCGCGGUAAUACGUAGGGGGCAAGCGUUAUCCGGAUUUACUGGGUGUAAAGGGAGCGUAGACGGCGAUGCAAGUCAGAAGUGAAAGCCCGCGGCUCAACUGCGGGACUGCUUUUGAAACUGUAUAGCUUGAGUGCAGGAGAGGUAAGCGGAAUUCCUAGUGUAGCGGUGAAAUGCGUAGAUAUUAGGAGGAACACCAGUGGCGAAGGCGGCUUACUGGACUGUAACUGACGUUGAGGCUCGAAAGCGUGGGGAGCAAACAGGAUUAGAUACCCCGGUACAA
rnacentral:rRNA from 1 species